UACGGAGGGAGCUAGCGUUGUUCGGAAAUACUGGGCGUAAAGCGCACGUAGGCGGCGCAGCAAGUCAGUGGUGAAAUCUCCGGGCUUAACCUGGAAACUGCCGUUGAUACUAUCUGUCUUGAAUAUCGUGGAGGUAAGCGGAAUAUGUCAUGUAGCGGUGAAAUGCUUAGAUAUGACAUAGAACACCAAUGGCGAAGGCAGCUUACUGGGGGUGCAUUGACACUGAGGCACGAAAGCGUGGGGAUCAAACAGG
rnacentral:rRNA from 1 species